GCGACAGCAUGGCGCAAACCCAGCACUUUUGUGCAGCGCUGUGAGCAUGAUUGGGGAAAUGAAGCCUGGGUGGGAGACCUUGGGCUUUUUCUUUCCUGUAACUGUGGAACACUGGGGACUCGGGGCAUGAUUUUGACCAGGCAGUCGAUAGAAUCUACAACGAAUCUCGCACGCCGGUCAGGUUUAGUCGUUCGUAGAAAAGAGUUUCCGCGAAAGUGGGAGAAUCUGAUUUAUCUGGAAGAGAAAUGAAAACAGUAACAGAGGAUUACGCAAAAACCUGCGUGCCUCCCCGUCGGGGAAUCGAACCCCGGUCUCCCGCGUGACAGGCGGGGAUACUCACCACUAUACUAACGAGGACCGGCUCUGAUCAGGGCUUUCAGGUCACCGCCUCCGAGAAGCCCUCCCGGAUCACGCCUCCCAACCUGACCCCAGCCCCUUACCGUUUACUGUUAGGGAACAAGGUCAUGUCUCGGGUGCAACUCCCCAAGCAGCCUAAGGUGUGGCAGAGAUGCUGACCACGUCAAGGCGUGUGGAGGACGCAACAGGCAGAUUGUGACUUUCCUUCGGGCAGUGAGUGACUCAGAUCCGGCCUCCACGCAUGGCCACCGUUCCGGUGGCACCUGCUCAGCUUCAAGGCGUGAAGAGGUCAACAGGUUGGCGUCCGAGUGGGGAGGUCCUUCAUGACGUGAGGUCAUCUCACAAGUGUUUGCUAAGCACCUAAUGACCGUCUGGUCCAGUCACAAAUGCACUAACCAGGUAUUCAGCAUAAUAGCAAUGCUCCUAAGCAAAAAAGACCAAAGUUAUUUGUAUUUUGCAUUUAAAGUUUGUCUCCCUAAUGGCAAAAUUCCAUGCAUGGGAUUAUCAAGUUAGAUGGUGGAAUACACGGGUUUCCAGGUGCUUUCUGAAUAGGCUGAAGCCAUUUACACUCCCAUCCGCCCAUCCCAUUCCUUCCUUCCCCAAACAAGUCUUGAUCUGUUGUUACAAUUAAUUUUUUUUUGUUAAAAUCAAUUUUUUAAAAAUUCAGGUGAGAUUCGCGUAACAUAAAAGUAACCA